CGCUGCGCUGCCUCCCCCGGACAGCUGAUUCAUUGGCUCGGCCGCCCAGACUGCCUGGCGCCGGCUGCGUGACGUCACCCAUUCACGGAGCCCGCCUCCCCCGCUCCGCUGGCGCCGGCCGGGCGGUCGCCCUGACAACGCAGACGCCAGCCCGCACAAUGACUUCCAGCUGGAGCAGCCCAGCCAGCCUGCGCGCUCACUCGCUUGCUUGCGCUGGGCUUCAGGGCGCCCGGAUUUCUUGCUUCAAAACAGCUGCAUUUUUGGAAGAAAGUCCACAACUGACAACUAAGCAAAACCCUCCUGGUGGAUAGCAUAAAUCUGCUUUGUUGAAGCUGCUCAUUUGUCUGAUCUAUGAGUCCAGAAGAUGCAAACUCCCUUCCCAGCUUAUGCAAAAAUACUUCCAGUAAAAACAAGCCCUUUGGCCCUUUUCUUUUGUCAGUCCAGAUUUCAGCAUGUUCUUCGCUUUGUUAUUCAUCAUUUUAUGUAUUUGGACCCAUCCUCAAACAGACUUUAAACCGUUUAAAGGCAAGGAGGGACUCUUUCGUAAACCUUUAAUCCCCUGGCCCAGCUGAGUAGAUGCACAGUGUCUUUUGAUGAUGGUGAUAUGGAAUGAUUAAUAACCACACAAGGCAUUCGGUUGGUCAAGUCACUGUUUAUUGGCUCAAAAUAAUCCUUGGUUUCUGUAUGUCUACAGCUCACUUCCUAAACAGUUAAAUCCGGAGAAGUCUAAUAGAUAAUAGUUGGUGAUCAUAAAUAUAAAUAACCAAUACAUUAGAAUGUGUAGUCAAAAUAGGAAUACUUGCUUUUCACUUACUUCCCACGGGUCGCUGCUGGUGGUAGUCAACACAAAUAAAAAUUUGAACUCAUUUUGUUAUUCAUCUAAAAUGAGAAACUCGGUGAAACAUUGAUUUUCUAAAAUUGCUGCAUAUUUAAAUGUGAUUAUAAUUGCUUUUUAGCAUUUUAAAAUUGUAACAUCGAUACCAAAUGCUUAAGAAUCUAAAGAAUAGUCUAUUGGGGCUGGCCUAUUUUGUGUAAAAUGGUCUGUAUCAUAAUGGAUGACUGAUUAUCCCAUCCACAUUAUUUGGAUUCACUUAAUACUAGGUUUUAACGUUAGGAGAAUAAAACCCUCAAGAAACCUAACAUAGAUUUGUAUAUUUAGUUUUCUCCUUCCUUAUCAUCUUCCACCAGACUUACAGGUGUUCCACCUGCUUGUAGUUUCGGUAAUAAUACCAGCUGGCGGUGGUUCCUAACUCUAGCUACACUUUAAAAUUACCUCGUGCAUUUAAAAAAAAAAUGCAGUUGUUUAGGUUCUUCCCCUAGAUAUUUUAAUUUACAAGGUUUGGGAUGUGGCCUGGGCACCGAUUUUUUUAACUUUUUAUUUGAAUGUAGACUUACAGGAAGUUGCAAAGAUAGUACAGAGAGGUCUGAUAGAGCCUCCACUGUUGGUUACAUCCCGCAUAGCUAGAGCACAAUAAUAAAGCCAGGACAUUGACACUGAGAUAAAAUGUGCCUGUGAUUCUGUGUCACCUUAUCCCUGAAGACUCUUGUAAUCAUUACCACAAUCAAAAUACAAACUAUUUCAACACCACGAAGAUCUCUCUCAUACAGUCCCUUUAUGGUCGUCCCUUUCUUUCCCCCACACCAUCCCUAACCCUUUGCAACCAUCAGUCUGUUCUCCAUUUCUAUAAUUUUGUCGUUUGGGGAAUGUUUUAUAAAUUGGUCCUCACAGCUUGUGACCUUCUAAGAUUAGCUCACCAUCCCCCCCACCCCCCCACCCCACCCAACUCAGCAGAAUGCCCUAGAGAUUUAUCCAAGUUAUUGCAGGUAUUUCUAGUUUGUUCCUUUCUGUUACUGAGUUCUACACUAUGGGUGUAACACAGUUUGUUUAAUCAUUCAGCAUUCACCUAUCAUACAUUUUGGUUCCUUCUUUUUUUGGGCGGGGGGAGUGCCUAUUACAAAUAAAACUGUCUUGAAAAAUUGCUUGCAGGUUUUUCUGUGGACCUAAAUUUUCAUUUCUCUGGGAUAAAUGUCCAGGAGUGUGAUUGCUGGGUCAUAUGGUAAGUAUGUGUUUAAUUUUUAAAGAAACUGCUGAACUAUUUUCCAGAAAUGUGGUACUAUUUUACAUUCCCAGCAGCCAUAUAUGAGAGAUCCAGUUUUUCCACAUCCUUACCAGUAUUUUGUAUUGUCACUAUUUUUUUACUUUUACUGUUCCGAUUAGGUGUGCAGUGAUACCUCACUCUGGUCUUAAUUUGCAUUUUCCUAAUGACUAGGGAUGUUGAUCAUUUUCUCAUGUCUUUGCCAUACACAUAUCCUCUUCAGUGAAAUCCCUCUUCGUGUCAUUUUCUUAUUUUCUUGAUUUGUUCUGUUACUGUUGAGUUUUGAAGGUUCUUUAAAUUAUAGACAUGAGUCCUUUAUCAGUUACAUCAGCAGUCCUCAACCUUUUUGGCUUCAGGGACAAGUUUCGUGGAAGACAGUUUUUUCCACGGAAGUGGGGGUGGUGGGGGAAAUGGUUUCCAGAUGGAACUGUUCCACUUAAGAUCAUCAGACAUUAGAUUCUCAUAAGGAGCAUGCAAACUAGAUCCCUCGCAUUCGCAGUUCACAAUAGGGUUCGCUCUCCUGUGAGAAUCUGAUGCCCUGGCUGAUCUGACAGGAGACAGAGCUCAGGUGGUGAGGCUGGCUCAGGAGGUGCUUAACUCCUGCUGUGUUGCCAGCUUCCUAACAGGCCAUUGACCUGUACCAGUCUGAGGCCCAGGACUUGGGGACCCCUGAGAGAUGUGGUUUGCAAAUAGUUUUUCCCAGUGUUUUUGCUGUCUUUUGGAUCUUUUGGGCCACAUCCGGUGGCUCACGCCUGUAAUCCCAGCACUUUGGGAGACUUAGGCGGGUGAAUCACCUGAGUCGGGAGUUCGAGACCAGGCUGACCAGCAUGGAGAAACUCCGUCUCUACUAAAAAUACAAAAAUUAGCCGGGCCUGAUGGCGCAUGCCUGUAAUCCCAGCUACUCGGGAGGCUGAGGCAGGAGAGUUGCUUGAAUCUGGGAGGCGGAGGUUGCAGUGAGCCAAGAUCGCGCAGUUGUACUCCAGCCUGGACAACAAGAGCAAAACUCCAUCUCCCCAAAAAAAAAAAAAAAAAAAAAAAAAAAAGGAUCUUUUGGAGAGAAAAAGUUUUUAAUUUUAAUAAAAUCCAAGUUUUUAAUUUUUUUUCUUUAACUUUUAGGUUUGGAGUACAUGUGCUAGUUUGUUAUAUAAGAAAUAAUGCAUCAUGGGGAGUUGGCAUAUAGAUUAUUUCAUCACUAGGUAAUAAGCACAGUACCUGAUGGGUAGUUUUUCAAUCCACCCCCUCCUCCCACUCUAUACUCAAGUAGGACCCAGUGUAUAAAAGUAUAGUUGACUUUUGUAUGUUGAUCCUUCUGUGACUUUGCUGAACUUAUUGGCUCUAGGAGUUUUGUUGUUUUGGGGUUUUUUGUUUUUGAAGGUUUCUUGGAUUUUUUUUUUUUUUUUUUUUUUUUUUUACA
rnacentral:lncRNA from 1 species